GACGAACGCUGGCGGCGUGCCUAAUACAUGCAAGUCGUGCGGACCUUUUAAAAGCUUGCUUUUAAAAGGUUAGCGGCGGACGGGUGAGUAACACGUGGGCAACCUGCCUGUAAGACUGGGAUAACGCCGGGAAACCGGGGCUAAUACCGGCUCGUUUUUCCUCCGCAUGGAGGAAAAAGGAAAGGCGGCUUCGGCUGCCACUUACAGAUGGGCCCGCGGCGCAUUAGCUAGUUGGCGGGGUAACGGCCCACCAAGGCAACGAUGCGUAGCCUACCUGAGAGGGUGAUCCGCCACAUUGGGACUGAGACACGGUCCAAACUCCUACGGGAGGCAGCAGUAGGGAAUCUUCCGCAAAGGACGAAAGUCUGACGGAGCCACGCCGGGGGAGUGAAGAAGGCCUUCGGGUCGGAAAACUCUGUUGCCGGGGAAGAACAAGUGCCGUUCGAACAGGGCGGCGCCUUGACGGUACCCGGACAGAAAGCCACGGCUAACUACGUG
rnacentral:rRNA from 1 species